CCUACGGGAGGCAGCAGUGGGGGAUAUUGCACAAUGGGGGAAACCCUGAUGCAGCGACGCCGCGUGGGUGAAGAAGCGCCUCGGCGCGUAAAGCCCUGUCAGCAGGGAAGAAAAUGACGGUACCUGAAGAAGAAGCCCCGGCUAACUACGUGCCAGCAGCCGCGGUAAUACGUAGGGGGCAAGCGUUAUCCGGAUUUACUGGGUGUAAAGGGGGCGCAGACGGCGAUGCAAGCCAGGAGUGAAAGCCCGGGGCCCAAACCCGGGACUGCUCUUGGAACUGCGUGGCUAGAGUGCAGGAGGGGCAGGCGGAAUUCCUGGGGUAGCGGUGAAAUGCGUAGAUAGCAGGAGGAACACCGGUGGCGAAGGCGGCCUGCUGGACUGCAACUGACGUUGAGGCCCGAAAGCGUGGGGAGCAAACAGGAUUAGAUACCCUAGUAGUC
rnacentral:rRNA from 1 species